rnacentral:rRNA from 1 species
UAAGGAAUAUUGGUCAAUGGAGGCAACUCUGAACCAGCCAUGCCGCGUGAAGGAUUAAGGCCCUCUGGGUUGUAAACUUCUUUUAUAUGGGAAGAAAUGUUCUGAUUCUUCAGAGCUUGACGGUACCAUAGGAAUAAGCACCGGCUGACUCCGUGCCAGCAGCCGCGGUAAUACGGAGGGUGCAAGCGUUAUCCGGAUUCACUGGGUUUAAAGGGUGCGUAGGUGGGCAGAUAAGUCAGUGGUGAAAUCUUCCGGCUUAACCGGAAAAUUGCCGUUGAUACUAUUUGUCUUGAAUAUUGUGGAGGUAAGCGGAAUAUGUCAUGUAGCGGCGAAAUGCUUAGAUAUGACAUAGAACACCAAUUGCGAAGGCAGCUUACUAUAUAAUUAUUGACACUGAGGCACGAAAGCGUGGGUAGCGAACA